GACGUAGGGCGCGAGCGUUGUCCGGAUUUAUUGGGCGUAAAGAGCUCGUAGGCGGCUUGUCGCGUCGACUGUGAAAACCCGCGGCUCAACUGCGGGCUUGCAGCCGAGACGGGCAGGCUAGAGUUCGGUAGGGGAGACUGGAAUUCCUGGUGUAGCGGUGAAAUGCGCAGAUAUCAGGAGGAACACCGGUGGCGAAGGCGGGUCUCUGGGCCGAUACUGACGCUGAGGAGCGAAAGCGUGGGGAGCGAACAGG
rnacentral:rRNA from 1 species